rnacentral:rRNA from 1 species
UAGGGAAUCUUCCACAAUGGGCGCAAGCCUGAUGGAGCAACACCGCGUGAGUGAAGAAGGGUUUCGGCUCGUAAAGCUCUGUUGUUAAAGCAGAACACGUAUGAGAGUAACUGUUCAUACGUUGACGGUAUUUAACCAGAAAGUCACGGCUAACUACGUGCCAA